GAUGAACGCUGGCGGCGUGCCUAAUACAUGCAAGUCGAACGAAACUUCUUUAUCACUGAGUGCUUGCACUUACCGAUAAAGAGUUGAGUAGCGAACGGGUGAGUAACAUGUGGGAAACCUGCCAAAAAGAGGGGGAUAACACUAGGAAACAGGAUCUAAUACCGCAUAACCAUAGUUACUGCAUGGCAACUUUGUAAAAGGUGGUUAUACUACCGCUUCUGGAUGGGCCCGCGGCGCAUUAGCUAGUUGGUAGGGUAAAGGCUUACCAAGGCAAUGAUGCGUAGCCGAAUUGAGAGGUUGAUCGGCCACACUGGGACUGAGACACGGCCCAAACUCCUACGGGAGGCAGCAGUAGGGAAUCUUCCACAAUGGGCGAAAGCCUGAUGGAGCAACGCCGCGUGGGUGAAGAAGGUCUUCGGAUCGUAAAACCCUGUUGUUAGGGAAGAAAGUGCGUGAGAGUAACUGUUCACGUUUCGACGGUAUCUAACCAGAAAGCCACGGCUAACUACGUG
rnacentral:rRNA from 1 species